UACAGAGGUCUCAAGCGUUGUUCGGAUUCAUUGGGCGUAAAGGGUGCGUAGGUGGCGGGGCAAGUUUGGUGUGAAAUCCCGGGGCUCAACCCCGGAACUGCACUGAAUACUGCCUUGCUAGAGCACUGGAGAGGGAACUGGAAUUUACGGUGUAGCAGUGAAAUGCGUAGAUAUCGUAAGGAAGACCAGUGGCGAAGGCGAGUUCCUGGACAGUUGCUGACACUGAGGCGCUGAAAGCGUGGGGAGCAAACAGG
rnacentral:rRNA from 1 species